AGUGAACGCUGGCGGUAGGCCUAACACAUGCAAGUCGAACGGCAGCACAGUAAGAGCUUGCUCUUACGGGUGGCGAGUGGCGGACGGGUGAGGAAUACAUCGGAAUCUACUUUUUCGUGGGGGAUAACGUAGGGAAACUUACGCUAAUACCGCAUACGACCUACGGGUGAAAGCAGGGGAUCUUCGGACCUUGCGCGAUUGAAUGAGCCGAUGUCGGAUUAGCUAGUUGGCGGGGUAAAGGCCCACCAAGGCGACGAUCCGUAGCUGGCCUGAGAGGAUGAUCAGCCACACUGGAACUGAGACACGGUCCAGACUCCUACGGGAGGCAGCAGUGGGGAAUAUUGGACAAUGGGGGCAAGCCUGAUCCAGCCAUACCGCGUGGGUGAAGAAGGCCUUCGGGUUGUAAAGCCCUUUUGUUGGGAAAGAAAAGCAGCAGGUUAAUACCCCGCUGUUCUGACGGUACCCAAAGAAUAAGCACCGGCUAACUUCGUG
rnacentral:rRNA from 1 species